AAAGCACUUGUUUUUUUACGUUUUUGGUAUCACGUUUUAUGCUUUUCGAAUGAGAUUUUAAUGAAUGUAAAUGUUAGCUUUUAGCCAACUGAAAAUUGAAGUAGAUAAAACAGG